UAAUUGAAAGAAAGAAUGAUGGCGCUAAAAGUAUGACACGUAGUCUAACAUUAUCUGGUCUGGUUUUAAUACAUCACUACCCAUGUGGUCGUCUUUGGAGGUAUCCUCCCCUCAUUUGCAACCCCAUCAACCUCAAAUUCCCCCUUCUUCUGUUUCUUCAACAAAUUCGCAAACCCAAUAUGUAAAGCUUUAAUUGUUACGUCUUCUCUUUGUUUCCUCUUUUGUUUAUUCGUCUAACUCUGCUACUGUGCUUUAAUUUCAGAGUUUAUGAACUUAAGCAAGAUGAAGAUAAGAGUUGUUCAGCUCUUUGAACUUCAGCAAGACAAAGACUUCAAAGCAUCAUAUUUUUGUCUUAUCAUCUAUAGUAAUAUAAUUGGUAAGCUUAUUAGUUCUAUUUAAUUUAAUAGCAGAACCAUUUGGUAGAAAGCGUAGCUAAGGAAGCGAAGAUCGUAGGUGUUGAUCCAGCAUAUGAUCUGGCUGUUCUUAAGCUGUUAAAUCAACCUAUUACUUAUUGUUGUUGCCAAUUGUCAUUUUGUUACUAAUUUAUUCUCUAUACUGGUCAGCUUUAUACUGACAAUUCUAAUUUCUCCAUCAAAAAGAUUUUAUAUAUUGGUCAGUGGAAGUAAACUAUGACAAAUAUGAUAUUAACUAAUCCUUCCAUUCUAUAUUAUAUUAUAGACACUUUUUGAGUGGGAAUGGAAGUUAAGAUAUUAAUUUGGUUUCUACAUUGUAUUAGUGAUUUUGGAAGAAAAUAUUAAAGUAAUGGUCAAAAAGUUUGAUGGAGAAAAAAUCAUAUCAAAGUGUUAAUUUGAACAGUGUUAAGACAUCUAAUCACUCUGCCACUGCUUUAAGACAUUUAAUCACUCUGCCAAGAAGAAGAAGAAGAAGAAGAAUUGAUAGUAGUUCAGCUCUUUGAGGUAAAUUUCGCACUCCAGUAAAUGAAUGAAAAAGAAAGAAUUAAGAAAACACUAAUAAUUUGUUUUUCUUAUUGGGUGUUGUGUAUUAGUAGUAAUUGACUUAAGUAUGACGGAAAUGAAGAUAAAUUCAACAAUGAAUUGUUGUUGCCAAUUUGGUGCUCCUUCUGUAUUUCUCAAAAACAAUUUCCUGUUGAAAUGAUAUUAAACAAGUGACAAAUAACCAUUACGCUUUAUUAGAAUAGAAAUCAGGAACAGUUUGAUUAGUGCUAAGAACUAUUUUGUAAUGUGAAGAGUGAAAUACUUUUGAGAUUAAGUUCUAUGCACACGAUCAUGUCACUUAUUAAGUAGUUACAGUCAAAUUUCUUGAUAAGCAUUAACUAAUUAUCUGUUAACAAUGGUAACUAUCAAGUAUUUCAAGACAAUUUAACAGUAUUGGACAUCUAAGUAGACAGCUGUCUUGAACAAUAAGAUCCUUCUAAGCCAUUUGAAUUGGUAUGUUGCUCCACACAACGCUAAUAUGGUAUAACAUCACUAAGAAGGACAUAAAUCAGACCUAAAAGAAAAUUUUAAUGUUUCUUAAUCAGGUCAUGAAUAAAUCAUAAGAAAUCUUCACAGCAACAGUAAGAUGAAAGCAUCAACGCAUCAUCUUUGUCUUAUCAUGUUUGUUGACUCGUAAGUUUAUCAGUUCGAACUUGUAAUCUUCAUUUCCUCUUAGGAUGUAAAAUGUUUCCUUUUCUAUAAAAGGUCAACUCAUUGCUUUUGCUGUAUGUAAUGUCAUCUGAUAUAAAUAAGGGAAAUAUUUUGUUCAACUCAUAAUGCUAUAUACUAUCAACUCUCAAGAAAGUCAGCUUAGGCCUAGCCAAAAGGGAAGCAAAAUCUUAAAACUGAUUAAGUUGUUAAACUGAUUUGCUCGUGUUUCUCCGUGCAAUGGGAAAGGAAAAAAAAGAAAGAAGAAGCAUAAUCAUGGGGGGAAAUGGAUAUUAUUGUAGUUUAUCUGAUUAUUUCAAAUAUUACAGGUAGUUAGUGGAUUAGGCAGGGAAAUACGGCACCAAAUGGAGCCGCCAUUAAAGGACCUAUUCAAACAGAGGCUGCCAUUAAUGUUGGUAACCAUUUUUCCCAUAUAAGAGAUUUACUGGUUGCGAGAAAAGUUUAGUGAAUAGCACUAUGGUCACCUCUGCACAAUGCACUGUUUGGAUAGGACGUAAGACAUUGUUUAGAAGGCAAAAAGAGCAGAGCCAGUUAAAUAAUUGUGGUUUACUUGAGCAUGAGGUCAGGGCAGAAUGCUGGUUUGAUUCAAUUUCUAAUCGCUGAAGAUGGUCAAAAUAGAUUACUUUUCCUUGUCUAAAACUCAUUAUUCAUCAGGUUAUGCAUCUAUGGGAAACUUAGUUUUGACCUAUACUUACUACCUUAUGCAGGGAAUUCNNNN
rnacentral:lncRNA from 1 species